GUCCAGCUGAUGAGUCCAGAAUAGGACGAAACGCGUGUCCUGGAU
rnacentral:hammerhead_ribozyme from 1 species